GAUGAACGCUAGCGGGAGGCCUAAUACAUGCAAGUCGAACGGCAGCACAGCAGUAGCAAUACUGUGGGUGGCGAGUGGCGGACGGGUGAGGAAUACGUCGGAAUCUGCCCAGUCGUGGGGGAUAACUAGCCGAAAGGUUAGCUAAUACCGCAUACGACCGAGAGGUGAAAGCGGGGGACCGCAAGGCCUCGCGCGAUUGGAUGAGCCGACGUCGGAUUAGCUAGUUGGCGGGGUAAAGGCCCACCAAGGCGACGAUCCGUAGCUGGUCUGAGAGGAUGAUCAGCCACACUGGAACUGAGACACGGUCCAGACUCCUACGGGAGGCAGCAGUGGGGAAUAUUGGACAAUGGGCGCAAGCCUGAUCCAGCAAUGCCGCGUGUGUGAAGAAGGCCU
rnacentral:rRNA from 1 species